GUAGUUCAGUUGGUUAGAAUACCGGCCUGUCACGCCGGGGGUCGCGGGUUCGAGCCCC
rnacentral:tRNA from 1 species